CGUUGAAACACCGGCUCCCGUACGAUCACUGAAGUUAAACAACGUCGAGCUGAGACAGUAACUAGAUGGGUGACUGUUUGGGAAUAUUAGGUUCUGUAAG